UGGGGUAGAGAAAAAAAAUGUCAAUUAAGUACUCAUACGACCAAAACUUCUGAUAUGAUGUUUAAUUUAUGCAAGGAAUGCAACCAACCUUUCUGUGUGAGGACUCAAUUUUCAAUGGGAUUGACAUUGCUGAAAGUUUAUAUGACAUCCUAACAAUCGAAGUGUCUACUCAAUCUAUAUACGAUGGUAAUGGCUUGUUUCGCUAAAAUAUAGUGGCUUAUUUUGAAUUGAAGGAAGCACGAUCAGGAUCAUUGAUGACGUUAUUU
rnacentral:lncRNA from 1 species